AUAAGUAGGAAUUGGAAAAAUAAUAGGGAGGUAAUUCACUCACCUAUUCAAGAGCAUAAACUCUCUUAUGCUCUUGAAUAGGUGAGUGAAUUACCUCCCUAUUAUUUUUCCAAUUCCUACUUAUU